rnacentral:lncRNA from 1 species
UUCACUUUAAAGCCUUUCUGGAUUCACUCUAGGACUAUCUGGAGAAAGAGGGAUUUGUAGAAGAAGAAAACAAAACCCCACAAUCGGUCCUAGCAAAGCACAGAGCAUUCAGAACUGGAAGGAGUUAAAACAGAGGGGGCUUGCUUUCACAGUAAAAAGAAAAUUCUGCAUGCAGCUGCUUUGGAUGAAGAAACUGAAACCCACAGAGAUGAAGUAACAUCCUCAAGAUCAAAAGGUAACAAACGAUUGAGGCAGGAUUUGGAUAUUGCUCUACAUGACGGGAAAGCCUGUGCUCUUGGAAUUACAGUCAUAGUACAACAGAUCAAGUUCAAAGCAUCAUCUAAGUCAAGGAAAACCAGUAAAGAGGUUUGGAGAGACAAACAGGGUCAACUCCAGGCAUUUGGGUCAGCA